rfam:Oikopleura dioica, whole genome shotgun assembly, reference scaffold set, scaffold scaffold_41
GUGGGCUACGGGGAUGUCGUUCCUAUCACGGUUCCUGGUAAAAUGGUCGGUCUGUUGUGCGCCUUAUCGGGGGUACUGUGUAUUGCUCUCCCAGUGCCAGCUAUUGUCCAGG